rnacentral:lncRNA from 1 species
UUUGAUCUAGGCCUCUCAUUGUUAUGACUUUUUAUUAAACCGCGUGUGGUUGCAUUGACUUGGAUGUAUUGUGGAAGCGCACUGAGGGCCAUGUGAUAUGCCAGCUCAAUUAAUGAGCCAUAAUCCAACGCCUCUCCUUUUUUCUUAUUUUUAUUUUCUGAUUUCUAUUUUCUUUUAUUUCUUUUAAUUCCAUUUUAUUUCUAAAAUCCAUAUCUCUUUCAUUAUUGGCCCAAAAAUUAUUGGACCAAUUGCAUUAUUUCUCUUUUAAUUUCUAGUUUCUAAA